UUCAUUAACAAUUCAACAGAUAACAUUUAAACAUGCACCAAGAGUUAUAAAAGGAAUACUCAUAACAUCAAUAGUAAGACCCUUCGGCUGCUCCCUUGU